rnacentral:snRNA from 1 species
GGUACAAGGUAAGAAAAA